rnacentral:rRNA from 1 species
AUGGAUCGUAAUCAUGCGGCCAGAAACAGCGCACCCCUUCCCUUAUCUGCAGCACAUAUCCUUCUUCCUUCUCCAUCGCUCAGCUCCCCUGCCCCAUCCCCACAACUCCGUUCCCUGUCCUGCACCACCAGCGCCGCCGCAACUCCGGUCCCUGUCCCGCACCACUGCCUUCGCUGCUGUGACCCUCCUCCUCCUCCUCCUCCCCCCACCCCCUCGCCCUCAAUCUCCCUCCUCCCUUUUCCUUUCUCUGAUGGGCCACGGCUCGCCCUGAAUCCCGUGAUCCCCGACGACCAUCUCUCAUCGGAGAUGGACACGACGACAGGGGGAGCCCUGCGAUGCCGGAACCAGCAUCUAUUUUUGCUGCAACCUGCCGGCCAAAACGCUGGAACCGGUCCAGCUCAGAAGCUAAAAACGGACGAGACUAGAUGCUACGAGCGGCGAGGUGGAUCUCAGUGA